GAUGAACGCUGGCGGCGUGCUUAACACAUGCAAGUCGAACGAAACACCUUAUUUGAUUUUCUUCGGAACUGAAGAUUUGGUGAUUGAGUGGCGGACGGGUGAGUAACGCGUGGGUAACCUGCCCUGUACAGGGGGAUAACAGUCAGAAAUGACUGCUAAUACCGCAUAAGACCACAGCACCGCGUGGUGCAGGGGUAAAAACUCCGGUGGUACAGGAUGGACCCGCGUCUGAUUAGCUGGUUGGUGAGGUAACGGCUCACCAAGGCGACGAUCAGUAGCCGGCUUGAGAGAGUGAACGGCCACAUUGGGACUGAGACACGGCCCAAACUCCUACGGGAGGCAGCAGUGGGGAAUAUUGCACAAUGGGGGAAACCCUGAUGCAGCGACGCCGCGUGAGUGAAGAAGUAUUUCGGUAUGUAAAGCUCUAUCAGCAGGGAAGAAAAUGACGGUACCUGACGAAGAAGCCCCGGCUAACUACGUG
rnacentral:rRNA from 1 species